GUUGUUGGGUAGGGGAGCGUUCUGUAAGCCUGCGAAGGUGUGCUGUGAGGCAUGCUGGAGGUAUCAGAAGUGCGAAUGCUGACAUAAGUAACGAUAAAGCGGGUGAAAAGCCCGCUCGCCGGAAGACCAAGGGUUCCUGUCCAACGUUAAUCGGGGCAGGGUGAGUCGACCCCUAAGGCGAGGCCGAAAGGCGUAGUCGAUGGGAAACAGGUUAAUAUUCCUGUACUUGGUGUUACUGCGAAGGGGG
rnacentral:rRNA from 1 species